ensembl:lncRNA
AACACCUUAAAAUACAGUGUAACUGAUUUUUAAAUAAGAUCUCUCAUAGUUUUUUGGUCUGGUUCUUGUGUAAUUUUAAAUGUCUUUUUUUAAUUAAUCAAAAAGGGGUAACUGCAGUUGUAAUAUGGUAACACUCACACUUAUAAAUGAGACAUUGCUGAUCAGAUACAAUAUGGUUUUAGUUGAAAAAAUUAAGUUAUGACUGUUUUGUAAAAUAACGACCCAGAAUGUGAAAAUCGUAUACAGAUUCUGACUGCGUUAAGAGAGUUAAGCUGUUUUUAGUAGGCUAAACAAGAGGCUUUUUUCUGUUUUUCAGUGGACGAGGCUCGUCUUCUAACAAAUGGCGAAGAGAAUACAACUCAAGGUCAGCUUGUUACACCAUCAGGUGUCUCUUCAUCAUAUGCAGCUGAUAAAACAGCAGCCCCGGAUAACUUCGUAACGGAGGCAUCGGUACCUUUGAGUGCCAGUAACAGUGGGUCAGAGCCCUGUGACCGAGGUGUAGCAGAAGCCCAGGGUCUUGGGCACAAGUCUGACGAAUGUAAAGCAGCCACCUUGAGAUGUGGGGAAAAGCGGGCGAGAGAAUCAGAAGACCCCUCUGAUGCUCCUGUGAAACGGCGUUUGAGAACAUCGGAAGUUCUACCAGACUACGACGCGAGAUGUGCCGAGCUGUGGAUCGAUGGUGAAACGGCUGCUUGUGAGGCUUAUGAGUUCUCAAAGUCCAGCAGCAACACCCAACGCCAACGUGCUAUUCGCCAACACGGCAAUAGUAGUUCUGUCAAGAGCGACAUUUUACGUCUCAUCCGAAUUGAAGUGGCAGCUUGUUAUUUUCCCAUCUCAAAGAUGCUUCGUUUGAGUAUGGAGCGGAGCAGAGCUGAUUUCGCUGAGGUGAUAAGUUCACUUAAUGCAAUGCAAAGGAAUACCAGAGAGUUGGCUAAUGAAGUCCGUAAAAUGCGAGCGGAUGGAAGACUGGUGUUAGACACAAUCUCUCUUAUGAAUGAAAGAAUGAGCGUCAUUCAAAGGUUGGCGUUGGACUUGCAUCGAGUGGUGACUUCUAGGAAAUGAGGGGUCUGUUUAUUUUAGCAUGCUGAUUUGCGUUCAAGCCUACUUUUGCUACCCAGCUUUUCCUUUUUUGAUAUACUUGUAUUGACGAGUGUUUUUUUUUAUUAUUAUUUCUUGUUUAUUGUAUCACUUUCCUGUGUUGUUUUAGUAGGUUUUAAAUAAACAGUUUCAAAAUGGCCCCUUUAUUCCUGAA